rnacentral:misc_RNA from 1 species
GAUGAAGAACGCAGCGAAAUGCGAUAAGUAAUGCGAAUUGCAGAAUUCAGUGAAUCAUCGAAUCUUUGAACGCGCAUUGCGUCCGCCAGUAUUCUGGCGGGCAUGCCUGUCUGAGCGUCGUUUCGACCCUCGCGCCCGGCUUCUGUCGGGGGCGGUGUUGGGGAUCGGCCACACCCUUCAGUGGGAGGCCGGCCCCUAAAUUCAGUGGCGACCACGCUGUAGCCUCCCCUGCGUAGUACUAAAACCACCUCGCACGCGGAGAGCGGUGCGGCCCGCCGUAAAACCCCCCAACUUUUACAAGGUCGACCUCAGAUCAGGUAGGAAUACCCGCUGAACUUAAGCAUAUCAAUAAGCGGAGGA